AUCUACUUCAUUCCAUUCUCGUUCUCGAUUUCUGCACGCAAUAAAUUUUCCAAGGGAAAUUGCAACCAGUAUAUGAAAGAGCGAGUCGCGCUAAAGUGCAUGGAACAGAAAUUCUUGGUCUCCUGCCACUUUUGAUUCGAAAGCCGAAACGUGCGGAAUGCUAAUAGUGUAAUAUAUCCGUUUGGUAAUAUGGAAUUUUUUGGACGCUCUAUAUAUUCGAAACUAUUUUUUGGAACAAAAUUUUAACGCACAACAAUAUGAAAAUUUUUCUAUCUUCCUGGCAUAAAAUUUUUAAAUCGAAAUAUUUGGAAAGUUAAAAUUUUCAGAAUUAAUAUUUGCAAACGCCUUGAAAAUUUGUGAAAAUUCAAAUAACAAAUUUUUGAAUCGUAAUAUUUUAGAAACAAUUCAAAAAUUUACGGAAUAAAAAUUUACGAACGUUUUGAAAAUUUGUGGAAGUUCACUGAUAACAUUGGAAACAAUUCUAAAAUUUCCGGAAUCGAAAUUAAUACACUUUGAAAAUUGUGGAAGUUCUUAUAUAGAUAUAUAUCAAAAUUAUAUUGAAUCGAAAUAUUUUAGAAAUAAUUCAAAAAUUAACGGAGUCAAAAUUUGCGAAAAUGCACAAAUUGGAUUGAAAUUUCCGGACUUAUUUUUAUAUAUAUCUUUGCGCAAAAAGGAUAUACCCGCGCUUAAAAGUUUUAAGGCAAUUUGUCACAAGGGUUGAGCAAAGUACGAACAGAGCAAUAAAUACCUACGUUCCGCGGAUAUACGUGCGGCAAAUAAGAUAAAACCAAAAGUCGAAUAGAGAUGGAGGAGGAUUGAACCAUAUAGAAGAGCGAGCCCAGCAGUCUGAGAUUCUCGGAAGUGUUUCUCGUCGACAGCGACGGAGACGCGUUUUUGCAUUGACGGCGCGCACCGCCGUUUGGACUUUUGGAAAUAUGAAAAUAUCAAAGGGUAGAAGACAUAUAUUUUGAUGAUUGAUAAAAUUGACGUUGGCAACGAAGCAGAGAAAUGAAGAAAAACAACGACAACAACAAAGUGGACACGGUCACUGGUGCACAGCUCGCUCUUCGUUGCCUCACUGACUGGGACGACAGAUUUACCAGAGCAGAAAUAAGAAAUCUCCGGCUAUAGUCUUCCAUCUCGUCGCGGGGCUCACUCAUGGACCCAGGCCCACGAUCUCACAGAAAGUUCACUCUUGUGAGGCUUUUUAGUGUGGAUGCAGAGAUGUGCGUGUAUAUAAACCAAGAGGCGUCGCGUCUACAAUCUCGCGCAAACCUCUCGACGAAUGGUCAGCCAGUAUAGAAUUCACGAUAUUAUGAUUAGACGCGCCUUCCGUGAAAAGAGCGACAAUAUUUAUCAAGAUGAAUAUCGCGCGCAGUACUCUAGUUUUCAAGAGACGUUUGUGUAUUGGUGAGAGAAAGAGAGAGAGAGCAUAUCACCCACGCUCGACGGAGCACAGCUUCCACAGAAGAAAAGAGAGGAUCAUGAGAUGAAUUUUAGUGCGUAUGAAAGGGUAGAGAGAGGAAAGAGAGCAAGAGGAGAUUGUAGGCGGAGCCAGUAAAACGGGUGGCUCUCCUGAACCAAAGCAUGGACCAUUGGCGAAAGCAUAAAGCCGUGAGUAUCGUAUGUCUACGCCUCUCCAUUGUAAUCACAUGCCCGUGUCCUUUCUCCUCUCUUACCCAAAGACAUUUAUUCUCUAAAAGCUCAAUUUUAGAAGUCCUCAUCGCUCUAAUACUCUCUUCUCCACAACAAGACAAAUUUCCUUCUUAAUUCAUUAUAACUUUUAACUUUUGGACCACGCCUU